rnacentral:rRNA from 1 species
UACGGGGGGGGCAAGCGUUGUUCGGAAUUACUGGGCGUAAAGGGCGCGUAGGCGGUUCGCUAAGUUGAAUGUGAAAACUCUGGGCUUAACCCAGAGCCUGCAUUCAAUACUGGCGGGCUAGAGUUCUGGAGGGGAUAGCGGAAUUCCUGGUGUAGCGGUGAAAUGCGUAGAUAUCAGGAGGAACACCGAUUGCGAAGGCAGCUCGCUGGAACGUUACUGACGCUGAGACGCGAAAGCGUGGGGAGCAAACAGG